rnacentral:lncRNA from 1 species
AAAAAAAAAAAAAAAAAAAAAAAAAAAACCAACAAAAAUUGAGUAAAAAUAUAUUAUUAUAAUUAAUAACAAUAGACGCAGCUCCAUUUAUUACACGGGAGCCGUUGAUUAGGUAUCGCCGAACGCAAGGCGUGACGUAACGUAACGUGACGCAACUUAACGUAUGUGACGUUGUCAGUUUAUGUGGCGGCGGGAGCUUAGAGGUAAAAAAUAGAAGAUUAGUACGGUACAUAGAACGCUUGAAACGUAUAUUUAAUAAAAUAUAACAUAUAAUAUAAUAAUAUUAUAACUUUUUAUAAAUAUAUUUUUCCGUCGGAGUCUAGCCUAGGUAGGAAUGUAUAUGCAGUUGUAUAUAUACAUAUAUGUAUAUAUUAUACAUACACACACCCGCAUGUAUAUGUAUGCAUAUAUUCAUUUAUAUACCUGACGUAUAUAUAUAUAUAUGUGUAUGGCAUACAUAUAAACGUAUAUCGUAACAUACAUUUUAUUUAUCCGAUCUUAUAUUAUAUUAUUAUUAUUAUUAACAAGAUAUGUAGGAGUUAAUAAUUCAUCACCUUAGGCGUCGUAGCUUUACAGGUUCUUAGUAGAGGGUCGUAUGGGUAAAAGAAAUGGCGUGAAAAUGAAAUCUAGUACCUACUAAGUAGAUAAUAAUGAAUAUGAAAACGAUAAAUUAAAAUAACAAUAGUGAUAUGUAACGAUUGAAGUACACUAACAGGCAUCGUAUACUCAAAGCAUUCGGUAAAAUUAUUCACGCGAGUGGAGAGACUUUUCCCCGUGUAAACACACAUAAAUCCAAUUCACGCAUACGUAUUAAACUUGUAUAAUAUUACUUACAUUCAUUAAGUAUGUAUCAAUAAUUUGCCCGAGAUUGUCGAACGGUAUCUAUAAUUAUUAAAAUUAAAUUUAUACCUAUAUACUUAUAUUAUACCUUAAACACAUACCUUCACAUAUAUACAUAUAAAUGUAGUUUGAAAAUUCGUUAAUUGGUGAAUAGUCGCCGUUGUCGAAGCUACGGGUACAUAUUUUAGAAUUUUCUAGGCAGUUAGCGCGUAGGUACUAUACAUAGCUAUCAUAUAUGAAAAUUUCAACAUAUAUAUACAAUAUAUACAUACACGCAUAUAUGUACAUAUACAUUAUAUAUAUAUGUAGGUACCCGAGGUAUCGUAGAUGCGUAGAUUUGAAAGAAGAAAUUGAAAACAUGGAAAAACGAGAAAAGAGAUGAAAAAAAAAACAAGAACAAUUUCAAAAUUCAACGCUUACCUCGCUCCAACAUUUCGAUUGGAUCCAGGUCACUCUAGUUUAUUGCAGUACGAAUUAAUUACCCAGCGACAACGCGUCUUUUCGUAUGAUAAAAAAUACAUCGCAUAUAUAAUUCAUCAUGCGCCGUCCUCCCCACCCCGCGUUUAGAUUUUAUCGUUAGCGAAAAGGUAGACACAUAUUUAAAACGCAUACACGAGACAGUAAAUAGACUGCGGGAACUUCGGCAAAGCUUAUUUUGUUUUACUGUGUUUUAUUUUUAUUUUCAUUUCGUGGAGUAUCGGUUUCUUUUUUUUUUUUAUCAUCUUUUCAUUCCCUCUAAAUCCUGACCAUGGUAAAGAGAACUUCUUUCGCGUGUCUAAUUCCAUGUAUAUAUAAAUAGUAUAAUGCGAAAAUUUUAACUCGCACUCCUUGUCAAUUUGGGACACAAUAAAUAAAAUGGGAGGUAUUUUUGACGGUCGGUCGGGCUAUUUCUCUCUCUCUAUCUCUGUAUCUCUCUUCUCUCUCUCUCUCUCUCUUCUCUCUCUCUCUUUCUUUCCACUCUGUUCUUUCUCUUCUCUCACUUUUGACGGAAGCGCAGAUCAGCCGGAAUUCCUUGACAUGUAAAAAUAGAUGAAUAAUAAUCAGUUAAUUAAACAAUUAAUUAUUAAUCCUUAACGAUAACACUCAAGAUAUUAAUAAUACGAUAACGAUAAAAAAGAAUUAUAACGUCACGAACAAAAUAGUGUAUGGUGUAAUGAUAAUUAGUGAAACGAUAUUAAGCGAAGAUUUAAAAAAGAAUUAUAUAGCAUAUAUUUCUGACGACGAUAAAAUAAAGAAUAGUAAUAAUCAAGAGCAUGAACCCGUAUAUAUAUAUAUAUACGUAUAAAUAUAUUAGCUUCUUCCUAAUACAGUGCCGUUUACGCUAUUUUUUACUGCAAAAUAAUAGAUUAGGCUUAUAACGUAGUACUUCUGGCCCAGCAUAACGUUGCGUUCGCACAACACGGUGGCGCCAGGCAAGUUGGUCAGCCCUUUAAUUUCAGAAUAACAAUCUGGAAUGUAAUUCUGGCUGCUGCUUAAAUGCCCUGACAAAUAUUCCCGAUAGUUUGGUUUUUUUUUUUCUCUACUCUGAACAUAACAUAAUGUUAGUUUUGUCAGUCGUAGGUUAUACAUUGGAUUGAAAGAAAAGAGGAUAAAGAAUGUAGUUAAAUUAUUGUCAGCUCGCAAGAAUAUGAAACGUUAUCGAAUUUCUUUUAUUGUUGGUUAGUUUCGUUUUGAUAGAUAUUUUCUGAUUUCGUUGAAAAAGACGCAUCGCAUCGUCAUGGUCAUAUAUAAAUAUUGCGCUUUAUGCAGCGGCAACUCAGCAUAAAAGGUUAAUGAAAUAAUAAUAAUAAUAAUAACAACAACAACAACAACAAUAAUAAUAAUAAUAUAAAUAGUAAUGUGUAAUUAAAAAUCUUAUAUUAUUAACACACAUACAUAUUAUCGAUAAUUACGUAAGAUAAAACAGCUAUACACUAUUUAUAACGUAUAUAAGCGUGAGAAAACAGAGAGAAAUGGAGCGUGAGCAUAGAAGGGGGACAAAUCCAGAGAAAGAGAGUGAGCUAGAGGUAGAAUAGACGUGCAUGGUGUGUAGGCUCUAGGCUGACAAUGAGGUAGAGAUGCGGCGUCUGAUGAUGAAGAAAAAAUGAAAAUAAAAAAAAUUUAGCAAAAGUAAAAAAUGACAGAAAAGAAAAAAAAUACGACAACAAAACGAACGUUAUAAUAUGUACAUCAAAAAUGAUAAAAGUACACAGUAUAAAUAUCAUGAGGCGAUAUGAAGAGUCGAAUUUGAAAUACAAAAAACAGAAUGUACAGUAGCGCAGGCUGAUAGUAGUGAAGGCAUGCUGCGAACAGGGCGCAGUUUUAUUAUUGAUAUAUUCAUAGUAAUAGCAGUAUGUCAUAUUAUACAUAUUGAACAAACAAUUAUCUACACAUAAGGAGAGGGGCAGAAGGGUGGAAAUGACUAUUACCUUCCCCAUUCGUCAUACUUUACCUUAUUCUUUUCUCUUUCUUUUCAUCUCUUUUUUCCCCCUUAAUUCUUUCUCUUUAUUCUCUCUCUCUCUCUCACUCUCUCUCUCUCUCUGUUCUAUAAAAUUCUCUCAUUUCCAUUUUGUUGAAAACUGCAUCGCAACGCACGAAUACAUGAAAAAAUAAAAGAAAAAUAUAUGUAUAUAAUCAAACACAAUAUCAGGAUGAAUUAUUAAAAACUAUAUCGUUAAUCCCGCGCUCUGAGGCAUUAACGAAGAAUGGAAAUUUCUUAAAGAUUUGUCAUCGCGCGCGGACGCGUAACAACGACGGUGAUGAUAAUAAUUCGUUUCUAUUCUUCCAGUCCUCCUCCUCCCUGUCUCCCGCAUCGUCCCCGAAAAAAUUGGCGAAGCAGAAUUCCACAUUCGUUCGUUAUAUUCCGUGACACGCUUAAUAAUUUUUCUUUCGCUUUCUUAAAAGGUGCUCGUUUCGAUCCGAAUCUUCGGUGUUUAUAUUAUAGGGAGGUGAAAAAGUAUGGAGAAAGGGUUGGGAGGGUUUGGGGUAGGGGGAGGAGGUGUGGUAUGAGGUGGUAAACACGAGGAAGAGAACAGUUUUUUGAAAAAAAGUUGAAAAAAACGUCACACUUAUAGCCAGCAGACUGCUGUUCAUAGUGCCCUGUUAUAGGGGGUUCCCCGGGCGGAAGGGCGAAGACGCGUCUCCUGCAGCGAUUCGUUUCUAAACGUAAUUUUCAUUCAUCGAUCAGGUGCCUGUUUUACGCGACACUUAAUUCGUAAGAUUGUAAUAUUUUCAAAUGCAGGCGGGAAAUCGGGAUGACCUUCUCACUUCAUCAUUAUUAUAUUACAACAACAUUGGAAUAUAGGAAUAUAGGUAGGUGACGAUGUAUAAUAGGUACAUUCCUAUCGCAAGUUGAUUAACCAGGCACCUUCUAAAGAUUUGAAAGCUGUUUUCGCCCUCCGUCCACCGGACCCUAAUCUAUUUUUCAGAAUACGCUAUUUGUGAUUAAUACAAUAUAUCUAUAUACAUAUAUUAAUAUACACAUACGUACACAUUAUAUGUAUAUAGAUAUAUAUGAAUAAUAUUUAAACAAAUAAUUAAUAAUAAUAAUAAAAAUGAAUAUAAAACCACAAAAAUACCUAGUACUGUAUUGUUUAUUAUGAACAUUAUUCUAUUGAUUAUUAUUUAUCACGUUAAUAAUAUUAAUAAUAAUAAUAAUGACAGUAAUAAUAAUAAUACUUAUAGUAACAUAAAUAAUAAUAAUUACCGCAUUGAAUACCAUCAUUAUAUAUAUAUAUAUAAAAUAUAUUAUAUAUAUAUAUAUAUAUAUAUAUAUUUAGUAUUAUUAGAGAGUGAGGCUGCUACAAUUACAAUAAUAAUGAAUUCCGUACGUUAUGUACAUUAGUAAUGAUUCAUUUGACAUCAUAUACAUAUUAUGUGUAUAUAUAUGUAUAUAUUACAUAUAUAUAUAUAUAUAUAUAUAUAUAUUAUAUACAUAUACAUAUAUAUAUAUGCAUGAAAUAUACCGUCGUACAGCUGCGUUACCAUGUCAAUUUAUUUUAUUCAGUACACCUAUAUAUAUUAUACUUAUAUAUAAUAUAAAUAUAAUAGGUAUAAUAAAACGUCGAACCGACUGCGUAUAACUUAUACAUGUAAUAGCGAAGCCUCUAACUCAAGAAUUUUACAUGUAUUUUUCUUUCACAAUUCCUUGCUAAUUAUCCUUGGAACGUUAUUUAUUGUAAAGUUAUCACAGUUACUUUUUCCAUGACAAUUGGUUCUUGUUUGUUUUUUUUUUUUUUCUUUUUUCUUCUAUCUUCAUAAAACAAAUUGUACUAAUACGUUGUUUUGUAUAUCAUAGUAGGCAUAUAGAUUGUACCAUGAAAUUAUUAAGUAAAAAUAAAUUUGAUUAGGUAAUACUUAACUAUUAUAUGUCGUCAACCUACGACGUCAAAUCCGUCCGAUCUGCAUCCUGGAUCACCCUUCACGGAACGCACAGGGACUACAGGAGAAAGAUUUUCAUACACGAUAUAUGUACAAGGUAUAUUUCAUCGCCCACGAAGAUGUGAGAGAAAAAAAACUGAAACACUGCCAAAUCUCACAAUCAGAUUCCACCCCAUGAUCCGUAUAUGGAGAAAAUACGACCUACACAGGAGCAUGAAUUCAUCCAGUUUGUUCAUUACCAGCAUAAAUCACCAUCGGGUAAUUCGCCCCCGUUCUCUCGACCCAGAGUUACAGGAAGCUUACAAGAGGAAGAGUGCGCCAGGCGGUGGGUUGAAGUAUACACAUGUACACCUGCAUGAAAAGGCCUCGCUUGAACGUAACACGUUAUAUUUAAUCGUAUAACAGUGAUGAAUCGAUGCAGGCUGAGAAGCUUUGAGGCGCCGAGCUGUUUUUCGCUCCGCAUAAUUGAGAGAAAAGCUGCCGAGUACAAAAAGCAGUUCGUAUAAAGAAUACGAAGCGACGUAUCGCAGCUGCUAACCCUGAAAUUCCGGACGCGUCAUUCUUUACUGCGGUGAAUUGCAAAUCGGUCCUGAAUCACCGUGCGACGAUGAAAAAGAAAGAAAGAAAAAAAGAAAAAUCAAACCACCGUCCAUUCCGCUUUCGGCUGUAAAAAUCGGCAAGGCCGUCAGGGACACGUCCAGGAACACGCAGUUUUUUUUUACGACGGAAAUUUACCGCCGUCGAAAAUCUGCCGCGUAGCAUCGAGGCCGUGAGAUGGCAAAGUCGAAAUUAGGGUGGAGAGCGUUCUGGAACCCGGAGUCGCAGGACGUACACCGAAACUUGCGGGAAUUUUUCACCAACGGUUUUGCCUCCACUGCGCCGAUCUUGUAUUGCAGGUUCGAAAAUUGGACAAGGAUGCGGGAUCGUGAUACGAGGGGUUGAAGUUUUGCGACGGAAAUUAAACGCGACGAUAGCAACAUCGCCUGAGGAUACCUCGGA